GCAGUGAAGAUGCUGUGUACCCGCACCUAGACGGAAAGACCCCGUGAACCUUUACUAUAGCUUCACAGUGGACUUUGAAUUUAUUUGUGUAGGAUAGGUGGGAGACUUUGAAGUGUUGGCGCUAGCUGGCAUGGAGUCGCCCUUGAAAUACCACCCUGAUAACUUUGAGGUUCUAACUUAGACCCCUUACCGGGGUUGAGGACAUUGUGUGGUGGGUAGUUUGACUGGGGCGGUCUCCUCCCAAAGAGUAACGGAGGAGCACGAAGGUACCCUAAGGACGGUCGGAAAUCGUCCGCUUAGUGUAAUGGCACAAGGGUGCUUGACUGCGAGAGUGACAACUCGAGCAGGUGCGAAAGCAGGUCAUAGUGAUCCGGUGGUUCUGAAUGGAAGGGCCAUCGCUCAACGGAUAAAAGGUACUCCGGGGAUAACAGGCUGAUACCGCCC
rnacentral:rRNA from 14 species